rnacentral:tRNA from 1 species
CAUUAAAUAGCUUAAAGUAAGCAAAAGCCUCUUAAGCUUUAGGAUAGCAAUUUACGCCUGCUUUUAAUGA